AACGUAGGAGGCAAGCGUCAUCCGGAGUUACUGGGCGUAAAGAGUGCGUAGGCGGAUCUGUAAGUGGGUGGUGAAAGCGCCCGGCUAAACCGGGCGAGGUCCAAUCAGACUGCAGGUCUAGAGGCGGAUAGAGGGGUGCGGAAUUCCGGGUGUAGCGGUGAAAUGUGUAGAGAUCCGGAGGAACACCAGUGGUGCAGACGGCGCCCUGGGUCCGAACUGACGCUGAAGCACGAAAGCGUGGGGAGCGAACGGG
rnacentral:rRNA from 1 species